GGCUGGUCUGAAGGAAGUGAGUGAUCUCAAUUGAUUGUUCACAGUUACAGAUGGAAGACCUCGUUCUACUCUUUCCCUGCUUCUCACCACUGCACUUGAAUCACCUUUU
rnacentral:Y_RNA from 1 species